AUGGCGGGCCCCGAUGGGCGGCAACAAAGAGCGCCCGACCUCCGGCGCUGAGAGUUUUCUCUCCUCGAAUCAUAGAACCUGAAAGAGACCUGAGGCGCAGUGAUCCUACGUCAUCAACCUGCGCCUUGAGAGCGGAGCGCAGCGCAGCCUGGUGAUGUGCAUCUGUGGGGACACCAAUGGAAAUUAGACUAAACCUGCAGUAAUGGGAAGAAGCUAUUUUGUGGAAGAACCUGUUGGACAGUAUCUUUCAGACUUCAGCACCAAGCCAAAGACUUGUGUCACAGGCUUGUUGAUAGGACAGUGUUCCCUACAAAGAGAUUAUGUGAUUCUGGCUAUUAGAACACCUCCAAGAGAAGAGCAGAAUGAAAGCAACAAAAAUCAUCAUCCACAAUUGGCUGACAUUGAUGAAGAAUGGGUAACAGCACAUGCUAGUCAGUUGUCCAGAAUGCUCCCAGGAGGACUGCUAGUUCUUGGUGUAUUUAUUAUUGCAGCUCCAGAAGUGGCAAAAGAUGUCCAAAAUGCUUUGCGCAAGCUAGUUUUUUCAAUAGAAAAGUCUGUAGCUAAAAAGAGGCUCUGGAAUUUUGCUGAUGAGGAGAUCUCUGACAGAGUGGCUCUUCACGUUUGUUCUGCUACAAAGAAGAUAAUUUGUCGAACUUAUGAUAUAAAAGAUCCAAAGAGUUCAGCUAGGCCAGCAGACUGGAAGUACCAAAGUGGCCUAUCUACCUUCUGGCUAUCUUUGGAGUGCACAGUUAAUGUUAAUAUUCACAUCCCACUUUCUGCUACAACAAUCAACUAUGAACUAGAGAAAAAUACAAGGAACGGAUUAACCCGGUGGGCAAAACAGAUAGAAGAAGGUAUUUUUCUCAUCAAUGGGCAAGUUAAAGAAGAUGAUGCAGAGCUAUUGGAAGGUCAGAAAAAGUCUUCAAGAGGAAACAUUCAACCCUUUGAUGUGAAGGUUCUGACGCAGUUGUCCCAGAGCUCAGGCCAUAGAUCAACAGCAAUGGUGCAAGUCUGCAGUGGUUCCAUAAAUCUUAAAGGUGCAGUGAAGUGCAGAGCUUACAUCCAUAAUAACAAGCCAAAAGUUAAGGAUGCUAUUCAGGCUUUGAAGAGGGAUAUAAUAAACACACUCUGUGAUCGUUGUGAAAUAUUGUUUGAAGAUCUGCUUAUAAAUGAGGCAUCUGACAAAAAAGGUUCUGAGAGAGAGUAUCAUGCUCUGCCUCACAGAGUGUUUGCCCCCAUUGCUGGAUCAAAUGUGAUGCUGUGUGACUAUAAAUUUGGAGAUGAAACGGCUGGGGAAAUCCAAGAGCGUUUUUUUGAGAUGUUGGAUCAAGUUGUGCAUGGGGAAGCAAUACAUAUAGUUGAGGAAAUGAACACAGUUGAUAUAAAUCCACCUGUCGACAGCACAGAUGACAUGGAACAGAUACAGUUAACAAAAGCCACAUUUCUAUUGAAACUUCAACAAAACAUGGGUGUGGUAAUAGCUGCCGCAGUUGCAGUCUUUGCAGUAACCUUCUCCUUUAAUUACUUCAGUGACUAGACUCCAAGCAAAAGAAGGCAUCUAAUCAUCAUGGGAACAUUGACAAGUAUUUACAUUAAUGCAAGGUGGGAGCCUCAAAGAUUUAAUAUGUUAGCAACUAAACGUUGUCUAAAACACAAUCAUUGGGUGUGUUCUAAAUUGUAGAGAUCUAUCCAGCUGUCUUGUUCCAUCAUGUAAAUACUGUAGAUGGAUCAGGUUCCUGGAAACUAAAGGAAGAUAUAUUUGGUGGAAAUUACCUGUAAAAUAGCAUUUUCCAGGAAGAAUUGUUUAGCAAAAAAGUAGAAUGCCCCUUUCCCUAUGCUAGUUGAUUAUAGUUUCAUUGUUAAAAACUUAUAAAUGUAUUUUUAAGAGACAUUUUCAAGGUUAUUGGAACUUAACAUUUGCCCUUUUUUAAUUACCCACUAUGACAGGUCUUGUCUUUAACAUGGAUAUUGACUAUUUUUUUUUUAAAAAGACAACGAUUGAAAAGUUGGUCCCAUUGUAGUCAAUGGCAAAAUCCUGAUUUCCAUGGCAUCAGAAUUUCACUCCACACAUUCUUUUUGUUAAAGCAUGUGUGUCAGGUUAACUCAUAUAGUUCGCAGCAGCCCUAAAAUCCCAAUUUAGACCAACAUACACUAUGUAAAUAUCUUGGCUAAAGCUUUGAAUCAUAAAUUAAUGAAAUAAUUAAACCUCUAAGAUGAAUGGUGAAUUUAUAUUUGCUUCGUUUUUCAUCUUGAUCUGAUUUAUCCAUCUAAUCCUGACUGACUCAAUUGCUAUAUUUCCUUUAAGAAUGCUUUAUCGGAUAAUUCCCCAGAUAUUCAUAUCCCAAAUAUGCAGAUUGGAAUGACAAAUAAUUAAAAAAUGUUGGAUAUGAAUUAAAUAAGUCAGUUUAUGCUGUCUUUUAAACUAUAUAUUAUGGGCAAAAUUAUUGCUUUACCCUAAAGGAAAAAUGUUUGAAAUAAAGUUAACAAAUGUCACCUUUAUUUAAAAGUUGUUGACAUCUGUAUAGUUCUGAGUUGCUAUAUAAAUUGAUAUAUACCAGCCCGAAGAGUAUUUAACCUUUUGUACUGCAGCUUAAUGAGUUUAGAUGCAAAGGUACUGGAACUUGCAGGAAAGCUUUGAGCCUAUGGCAUAAUCAAGCAGAAAGUAUUAGAAAACUGAAUAAAAGAUAACUUGCAAAUGGAAUAACAUUUACAUACAUAGCCUAUUCAUCUGAUUUUUACAUGCUCCAAACAAUUAACAUACAAAAAAUUCGAUUGUUUGUUCAGAAAUUUACAAUUACUGCUGACUUGCUAAGAGUCAAGACAAGUUAGACUGACUCUUAGUGCAAAUGGGGAAUUCCCUUCAUUAAGCAUUAGUAACACAUCAGAUUUGAAAUUAUAGGAAUUCUUUUGGCCAGAGGUUAAAUUUCUGAGAGGGAGCAUGGUCGAGGCUUGUAUUGGGCAGUGGUGGUAAUCCAAUCCCUUUCCUUCUCACCGCUUUGUUUGAGGGGAGCAACUUGAGGGAACAAGGAAACAAAGCUCCUGAUAGCAGGGUGUAGGGAUGUCCUCCUGCUGCAAAUUUAUUUUACAGGUACAUGCUAUUUGACAGAAAUUUGGUAGAUUUUUUGGUAGAAGGAACUUAUUCCCUUUUAUUUGAAAAGGGAGGAGUGGCUGCCAGAGCAUUCUCCAGAAGGGGCUCUUGACGUUGGCAUUUGAUUUCUCCCUACUAGAAAUAAAUCUCUUGGUCAGCUAGUGCUCAGGGGUGUUAAUGAAAAGCAGGAUAUGUAUACUUUUGGGAAAAGUCAUGUUACAAAGAUUAAUUCUUUUAAAAUAGUCAUUUGUGAAACAUGUUAAUUGUUGACUGGCUGCUGCUGUUAUCGUGCGUAUGUAUAAAUGAGGUGGCUCUGUACCCGUCAUAACUACCCAUUUGCAUGCUUUGUAUGUUAUUCUCAUCUAUGUUUGUUAGCAUUUUGCCUACUCGGAUGGUGAACUCUGAGGCUGGUAAACUGUUAUUUAUGUGAACUGCCAAAUAGAGCUUUAGUGAUUUGAUUAAUAAAAGCUGCUCACAAAUA